rnacentral:rRNA from 1 species
ACGGGUGAGUAACACGUGGGUAACCUGCCUCAUAGAGGGGAAUAGCCUUCCGAAAGGAAGAUUAAUACCGCAUAAGAUUGUAGUGCCGCAUGGCAUAGCAAUUAAAGGAGUAAUCCGCUAUGAGAUGGACCCGCGUCGCAUUAGCUAGUUGGUGAGGUAACGGCUCACCAAGGCGACGAUGCGUAGCCGACCUGAGAGGGUGAUCGGCCACAUUGGGACUGAGACACGGCCCAGACUCCUACGGGAGGCAGCAGUGGGGAAUAUUGCACAAUGGGGGAAACCCUGAUGCAGCAACGCCGCGUGAGUGAUGACGGUCUUCGGAUUGUAAAGCUCUGUCUUCAGGGACGAUAAUGACGGUACCUGAGGAGGAAGCCACGGCUAACUACGUGCCAGCAGCCGCGGUAAUACGUAGGUGGCAAGCGUUGUCCGGAUUUACUGGGCGUAAAGGGAGCGUAGGUGGAUAUUUAAGUGGGAUGUGAAAUACUCGGGCUUAACCUGGGUGCUGCAUUCCAAACUGGAUAUCUAGAGUGCAGGAGAGGAAAGUAGAAUUCCUAGUGUAGCGGUGAAAUGCGUAGA